rnacentral:rRNA from 1 species
UCCAGACUCCUACGGGAGGCAGCAGUGGGGGAUAUUGCACAAUGGGGGAAACCCUGAUGCAGCGACGCCGCGUGGGUGAAGAAGCGCCUCGGCGCGUAAAGCCCUGUCAGCAGGGAAGAAAAUGACGGUACCUGAAGAAGAAGCCCCGGCUAACUACGUGCCAGCAGCCGCGGUAAUACGUAGGGGGCAAGCGUUAUCCGGAUUUACUGGGUGUAAAGGGAGCGUAGACGGCAGUGCAAGUCUGAAGUGAAAGGCGGGGGCCCAACCCCCGGACUGCUUUGGAAACUGUGCUGCUGGAGUGCAGGAGAGGCAAGUGGAAUUCCUAGUGUAGCGGUGAAAUGCGUAGAUAUUAGGAGGAACACCGGCGGCGAAGGCGGCCUGCUGGACCGCGACUGACGUUGAGGCUCGAAAGCGUGGGGAGCGAACAGGAUUAGAUACCCUCGUAUU